GCUUUCAAGAAAUACCUUCUUCACAUGUUCCUUUUUUUUUUUUUCCCUUUGAAAAUAUUAGGGCUUAGCUGCAUAUAUGCAGUUUUUCAAACAGUUUCAUGUGGAAUCGAACAAGCGAGGCCAGAAAUCUUUGCUGAGCCCUGUUGCAGCUGGCCUUAAAAUACAUUUUGCAUAAUUACCAAGGAAUAGUCAGCUCAGGACUAGCUUUUCUAUUUCCUUUCCGCAAUUCCCCUCCAUUCCUCCUAUUUCUAGAAAACACUUUCCCCUUUACCCCCCGUGUUGUUUCUACCAUGUCUCCAGCUGCGGACAUCUAAAAGGGACUCUUUAGAGCCUUUCAAAACAGCUCUUUAAUCAGCCAGAACAUCUGACUGCUGAUUGAAGAAAGCCAUCUAUUUGCUUGUACUCAAGUCCUGAAAACAUCCCUUCAGCAGAAUUCACAGCUCGCGCUGGCUCACGUGGCCAGAAUCUGACUGAAGACUGAACCUCGGUCUCCUAAGCAGCAAUGUCAGCCACUGUCAUCAGGCAAACUGUUUCUGCAUCAGUGUGAGCUAAACUCAAAGAGCUAAGGUGCUUGUGAGAGUCAGAGAACUGUGGGAUGGAAUGAGGAAGAGAUUCAGUAAAAGACGACAAAUGAGAUGGAUACACCAGCAGAAACCAUCUACGCAAAGUGCACACAGAUGCUGACAAUGACGUCAUGGAGCAAAGACAUUUCUGGAGGGCUCCUGGGUAACCCAUCAUCUUCAGAACUGGUCCCAGCAUCCUCUGUCCGCUUUGCAUGAAAUCCAAACGGAGGCGGAGGUCCCAGCUUCAUGUUGUUUGGCGCUGCCUAGUGGCUGUAUCGUGCAGCGUCGUUCCAAGUGGAUGAGAUGGGUUUGCCUUUCUAGUCCCUCUGCACAGCAGCAGCUCUUGGCUGCACUUCACCCAGGAACACAAGUCCACCUGUCCAUCCAGGAAUACAUUUGGACUUUGCAUCAUUUUUCUCAUGGUUACUUUUUGGAUGAGAAGUAAUGGAUAACAUUUUUGGAAAUGCCUGCAUGAAGACAGGAUGUUCAGAGGCAUCCAGAUCUGCAGACUGGGAUUCACCUCAUCUAACCUCAAACACUGCAGCGCAGGUACCUGCAUCGGAGCCGGUCACCCCAGGCUCCUGCUUACACUUGGUGAGGAGAAACAGGCACUUCUAGAGCAUGGUUCAUCAGUGACUUCAAGAUGUACCACAAGAACGUUACCAGCUUUCUUAGCAAGGUUGACUUCUCUCUGCUGAUUACAAAAGGCAGUUGGUGACAACCUCAGAUGCAGGCAUUUAUCCUUUGGUCAGAUGAAUCCCAGUUAUACAGAGGAAACAAAGGCUCUGCAGCCUCUGGUUCCUACUGGCAUAAAUGAUCAGGCAUCUACAUUUUUUAACAAUCCAUAGGAGAUGCAUCUUAGGGGCAUAAGACAAUUCUGAUCAAAUUUAAGCUGAGUACCUCAUUCUACUUUUGAAGAUGAGAACUACAUUAUUUAGAAAUGAUAACCCAAGGAUUACUUAUGCUUAAACAAAAGCUCUUUUAGUUACUAGCUAUUAGUUAUUGCUGCAUCCCAUCCACUUGUGAUUUGCCUUGCAUCAGGCAUUUUAAUUUGUACUUCCGUUAAAAAGGCAACUGUUUGAGAGUGCAACCAUUCUGAACAAAAGGAGUAAGCAAUUCAGGGUAUCUUUAAUCUAUAAACAUCAUAGCAGCUCUGUAUUUGUCCACCAGCCACAGUCCAAAGACUUACUCAAGUUCAUCUUCUGAAUAAUAAC